rnacentral:rRNA from 1 species
UACGUAGGGCGCGAGCGUUGUCCGGAAUUAUUGGGCGUAAAGAGCUCGUAGGCGGCCUGUCGCGUCGGUUGUGAAAGCCCGGGGCUCAACCCCGGGUCUGCAGUCGAUACGGGCAGGCUAGAGUUCGGUAGGGGAGAUCGGAAUUCCUGGUGUAGCGGUGAAAUGCGCAGAUAUCAGGAGGAACACCAAUAGCGAAGGCAGCUCGCUGGGACGGUACUGACGCUAAGGCGCGAAAGCGUGGGGAGCGAACAGG